rnacentral:rRNA from 1 species
ACACUCCUGCGGGAGGCAGCAGUGGGGAAUAUUGGACAAUGGGCGCAAGCCUGAUCCAGCCAUGCCGCGUGAGUGAUGAAGGCCCUAGGGUUGUAAAGCUCUUUCACCGGUGAAGAUAAUGACGGUAACCGGAGAAGAAGCACCGGCUAACUUCGUGCCAGCAGCCGCGGUAAUACGAAGGGGGCUAGCGUUGUUCGGAUUUACUGGGCGUAAAGCGCACGUAGGCGGACUAUUAAGUCAGGGGUGAAAUCCCGGGGCUCAACCCCGGAACUGCCUUUGAUACUGGUAGUCUUGAGUUCGAGAGAGGUGAGUGGAAUUCCGAGUGUAGAGGUGAAAUUCGUAGAUAUUCGGAGGAACACCAGUGGCGAAGGCGGCUCACUGGCUCGAUACUGACGCUGAGGUGCGAAAGCGUGGGGAGCAAACAGGAUUAGAAACCCGUGUAGUCC